UCCCAAGUAUUCAAAUGUUAUGAUGGGGGA
rnacentral:piRNA from 1 species